AGACCAUGUUGCACACAAAAAUUGCAUUUGGAGUAAUAUGGCCACUAUAGAACAUGUGUUGAGAACCACUGGUGUAGCCAAUAGGUCAUCUGCUGCCUUUCAGAGAGACCUCAGACCUUCCACAAUCACAUCACACCUCCCUUCCCCCCCCCCCCCCAAAUCCCCAAAAUAGAGGUCUCCAUGGGCACUCUUCUCUAUUAAAAGACAACUUCCAAGAGCUAAAAAGUUGGAUAGAGAAGCUUCACUCAAGACAUCAGGUGGAAAUCUGAUAACUGGGUUGUUGUAGGUUUUUGGGGCUAUGUGGCCAUGUUCUAGAAGCAUUCUCACCUGACGUUUCACCUACAUCUAUGGCAGGCAUCCUCAGAGGUUGUGAAACCUCACAACCUCUGAAAAUGCUUGCCAUAGAUGUGGGCGAAACAUAAGGAGAGAAUGCUUGUAGAACAUGGCCAUAGAGCACGAAAAACCUGCAACAAUUCAGUGUGGUCAUGCCUCCAACAACCCAGUAUGGUCAAACAUCUUGUUGUACACAAAAACCUUGUUGUACACAAAAGACUUACAAUAACCCAGUGUGGUCAAGCAUCUUGUUGUACACAAAAAUUGUAUUCAGACUGUGACACCAUCCACCCUCUCUUUGAGAUAGAGGUCUCUAUGGGACAAUCUUUUUGUAAUAUAAGACUACUUUAAAUAAUGCUUGCUCCCCAAAAAAAGUCACUUGUGACUCUCCAGUCACUUUCCAUUUUGGAAAAACGGGCAUGUCCUAGCUGUGGAGUUCCAGUUGGGUUGGAAAAGGAAAGUGUGUUGAGAGCAACUUCACUUUGACUCCUUUGAUCACAGGUGUUUCUCUAAGCCAGAACCUUUUCCUCCUGCUAUACUGCUUUUGCCUGAUCUGGUCACCAAAGCAAGAUGGAGAAAUGCCAUUCAACGUAUUUGGGUGGAGAAACCAUUUGGCACAAUCCACAUUGGAAAAUACAACAUGUUGGGUUGCCAUUACUUCUACGUGGACUCUAAGAACCCCCUCCCCAAUCCCUGGUAGCUGCAUUCAGACAGUAGUCCAGGUCAGAAUGCAAGGCCUUAAUGUUGUUUCCUUGUGAAAUGGAAAAUACGGGUUGUUUCUGUCAAACAACAUAGUUAGGUUUGUUGACCUGGGCGUUAUUCUCUGAAAGUGAACAUACUGUCCACCCCACCAUGCCAAUCACUCCCAGGCUGUUUGUGGGUGGCUGGAUCUAUAAAAGUCCAAUCUUUCAGAGAUGCUAAAGAAGUUUACAUAAGAGACUUAACAGACAAUCUUAAUCGUAAUGCAUUUAAGUACUCUGUAUCCCAGAUGUGUGAUCGCUACCCAAUUAACUCUAUGUUUUUAAGCCAUAUUGAAUCUCUUUCACGAAUACAUGGAAAGUCAUCCACUCAGUCACUGAACUUGUCAACAGGCUUCAAGGAAAUAUCGUUCACGUACUGUAGAUAUAUACCGUAUGGUAUGUAUCUUCCAUUCAAAGAAAACUAAGGACCAAAGAGUACUGUUGCCCUAAUCCAACGCUGGUCAGAAAACGAGCCAGUGUCACCUGUACAUUAAAAACCAGGUGUCGAUUCCUUUUUGACAUUCAUUUUGCAUCACAUCUUACUCAUUUCAGGGAGAGAGAGAAAGAGCAAGAUAGCCAUAUUAGGGUCUAUCUGCUAAAAAUGUUGAGAAAUGAAAGGAAGUCAGGAAACAUUUGAAUGUCUAUUGGUAAGGCUUAUUACCAAACCUUGGAAAUAAAGCAAAUAACCAAAAGGGAUGGGGGGGGGGGGUUUAACAAAAUGACUUAUUUGACUUCUAAUUAGAAUUUUGCACUAAUGAGUUAAAAUGUAGUCAUUUCCCAAUAAUAAAGCCCAUCAAUUAUUUUGUUGUCUGAAUGUCCUAGAAUAAGAUAAAAUGAGUUUCCAAUAAUUGUGAUGAUGGUGAGUCCACGGUGUAAUGAAUGCAAAGGUAUGGGGCACCCCCUUAACCAGUGUUGUAAAUAACCCUUUGGACAUUAGUUGAGUGCCGAGAGACAUGUAUCUUCUGAUAUAUCAAAUAUUUGACUGUCUAGAUCAAAUUGUACACAAUAUAUUUGUCGAUGGUCCUGUAACCUAGUGUAUGAACACAUUUUUCUGGGUGCCUUAGAAGUUGUAUUUUUCAUGUGUGUUAAUAUGCAGUAUUUAUACCUUGUGAGAAGCUGCUUUGAAUAAAAAUAUUGAAACUA